rnacentral:rRNA from 1 species
GUGGGGAAUAUUGGGCAAUGGGCGAAAGCCUGACCCAGCAACGCCGCGUGAGGGAAGAAGGUUUUCGGAUUGUAAACCUCUGUCCUUGGUGACGAACACAAUGACGGUAGCCAAGGAGGAAGCCCCGGCUAACUACGUGCCAGCAGCCGCGGUAAUACGUAGGGGGCAAGCGUUGUCCGGAAUGACUGGGCGUAAAGGGCGUGUAGGCGGCCGAUUAAGUCUGGAGUGAAAGUCCUGCUUUCAAGGUGGGAAUUGCUUUGGAGACUGGUUGGCUUGAGUGCGGAAGAGGCAAGUGGAAUUCCCAGUGUAGCGGUGAAAUGCGUAGAGAUUGGGAGGAACACCAGUGGCGAAGGCGACUUGCUGGGCCGUAACUGACGCUGAGGCGCGAAAGCGUGGGGAGCAAACAGGAUUAGAAACCCGGGUAGUCC